AGAGUUUGAUCCUGGCUCAGGAUGAACGCUGGCGGCGUGCCUAAUACAUGCAAGUCGAGCGCCCCUUUAAGAGGUGACAAUCGCAAGAUUGCCGGUUCCUAUGGGGAGCGGCGGACGGCUGAGUAACGCGUGGGAACGUGCCCCAAAGUGAGGGAUAACGCACCGAAAGGUGUGCUAAUACCGCAUAUGAUCUUCGGAUUAAAGCUUUAUGCGCUUUGGGAGCGGCCUGCGUCCUAUUAGAUAGUUGGUGAGGUAAAGGCUCACCAAGUCAACGAUGGGUAGCUGGUCUGAGAGGAUGACCAGCCAGACUGGAACUGAGACACGGUCCAGACUCCUACGGGAGGCAGCAGUAAGGAAUCUUCCACAAUGGGGGCAACCCUGAUGGAGCAACGCCGCGUGCAGGAUGAAGGCCCUCGGGUCGUAAACUGCUUUUAUGAGUGAAGAAUAUGACGGUAACUCAUGAAUAAGGGUCGGCUAACUACGUGCCAGCAGCCGCGGUCAUACGUAGGACCCAAGCGUUAUCCGGAGUGACUGGGCGUAAAGAGUUGCGUAGGUGGUCGGUAAAGCAAAUAGUGAAAUCUGGGGGCUCAACCUUUCAGGCUAUUAUUUGAACUCACCGACUCGAGAGCAGCAGAGGUAACUGGAAUUUCUGAAGUAGGGGUAAUAUCCGUAGAUAUCAGAAGGAACACCAAUGGCGUAGGCAGGUUACUGGGCUGUUUCUGACACUGAGGCACGAAAGCGUGGGGAGCGAACCGGAUUAGAUACCCGGGUAGUCCACGCCGUAAACGAUGGAU
rnacentral:rRNA from 1 species